GACGAACGCUGGCGGCGUGCUUAACACAUGCAAGUCGAACGGAAACGCCCUGCUUUUGUGGGGUGCUCGAGUGGCGAACGGGUGAGUAACACGUGAGUAACCUGCCCUUGACUUUGGGAUAACUUCAGGAAACUGGGGCUAAUACCGGAUAGGAGCUCCUGCUGCAUGGUGGGGGUUGGAAAGUUUCGGCGGUUGGGGAUGGACUCGCGGCUUAUCAGCUUGUUGGUGGGGUAGUGGCUUACCAAGGCUUUGACGGGUAGCCGGCCUGAGAGGGUGACCGGCCACAUUGGGACUGAGAUACGGCCCAGACUCCUACGGGAGGCAGCAGUGGGGAAUAUGGCACAAUGGGCGGAAGCCUGAUGCAGCAACGCCGCGUGCGGGAUGACGGCCUUCGGGUUGUAAACCGCUUUCGCCUGUGACGAAGCAUGAGUGACGGUAAUGGGUAAAGAAGCACCGGCUAACUACGUG
rnacentral:rRNA from 1 species